AAUCGAUUCUUUUUUUUUUCAUAGUCAUAUUUAGUGUAUCUACAACUUCAGUUAUUUUAUAUAUGAAAAAUUGUGAAAAAACAUAUUUCUGAAAAUUAGCCUUAGGCCCCCAAAAGUGUAAGCACGGCACUGCAUUCACACCCCUCGUAGUAGUAAUGGGCACACAGAUUCUAUUGUGAAAACUUGUCUCUCAUUUGUAUUUGGGUCUAAGGCCAUAAAAUUCUUUAUUUUUAAAUUAAAAUUAAUCGGUUGAUAAAAAAAAACAUAAAGUACGUAUUUGGAAAAAAAAUGUAAAAACUUAUAAUAAAGCAUCUGAGGUGCAUAUACAUCACAAAGAUAAUGCCACUGCUUUCCUCCAAGCAAAAAAAAAAAACAGAAGGCCAUUUUAAUCACUUUGGGCCUUAAACAAGAUAAUUUCAAGGAUUUGAUACUUAUUUAUAGAUAAACGAAUAUAUUACAUCAAAGUUUAAGAUAAAAACUUG
rnacentral:lncRNA from 1 species